rfam:Schistosoma curassoni strain Dakar, Senegal genome assembly, scaffold: SCTD_scaffold0002195
AUCCAGCUGACAAGUCCCAAAUAAGACGAAACACGCGUCAAACUGGAU